GAACAACUUUUUCCUAUACAUACAAUGGGUGCUCGGUCUUAAUUUUCAAGUUAUAUAUUAAAACAUGUUUAUGUGUACCCUCUUCCUAUAUUUUAUAAAAAAUUGUACGUUAGAUAUUAUAAUUAUAGUGUAUGUAUGCGAGUGCACGUCCAAAUUAUAACCGUGUUUCCUACACGAGCGCCACCACUUAAAUAGCUUAACCCUAUUUACUGUUUUCCUACUUUCAUUUGGAAUUUAGUGACUGGAAUUUUUAUUGUUUUUUUUUAUUGGUUAUUUAUACAUCACUGUGAAAACUAAAAAAGAUCGCGUUAAAAUUCAUGAGGCAUAUGAUACCAAAGAAACAUAUUUUUGAGAAAAAAGUUGUUCAUAGUGAAGACCUUAACAUUUACAACAACACAUUCUAAGAACAUUGAGAUCGCGUUGGAAAAAUAUAAAAACAUGCAUCUUCGAUUCUCACUUUCGGAAAGGCAGAUCGUCCAUUUCGCUGGUCCUUUGGUUUAUUCCCAAAACUGUUUCUGCAAACAGUUAAUAAUUACUUCAAAUAUUACAGAGUCAUUCCAAGAAAUAAAACGCAACGUUCAAAAUACAUAUACGCUCAAAAAUAUUUGUACAGCAGUAAGAAGCUUUUCAAUGAGAACUUAUGACUCGUUCGCUAACUCUGGAUACUGGAUUAACUUAAAAUUUAUUUCAUAUGUUAAUUGAUAUUGAGAACUUCGCCAGACAUCUGCUUUUCAGCAAUAUACCAACAAGUAUAGCAGGUCGGAUAAUAUUAAUAUAUAUGACAAUGUUUUAGUAUUUUAUAUGUUGUGCAAUAUUUUAAGAGUCUAGUAGAAUUUUAAUAAUAGACCAUAAUAUAUUAGCGAUUUUUUAAUUUAAAGGAUUUUGCCAUAUAUUAUCACUGUAUGAUCGUAAAAAAGUAUUACUGAAUAUUCGAUAUAAAAUAAAUAAAAGUUUUGCGAAUUAUUCACGAUAUUUUCCAAAAGGAUACGAAUGCUUCCACUAAGAGAUUAUUGACUGUGCAACUUAUGCGCAAAAUGCACUUGCAUGGAAUUAUGCAAAUUGAAUAAGACAUAAUUUAUAGACGACCUCACAAUGUAUCACCUUUUCCAAGUACAAAUUUUAUGCUUCUGUAUAAUUACUUGCAAAUAACAAAGUAUAUGACAAAAGAUUAAUGAUCGUGAAUAAUGUAAAAUAUGUACGUUUCAUUUGAAUACGAAAUAAUACGAUAGCCCUUGUAAUUAUUAAUUAUUAGUAAACCUUAUCAGGAACAUAAUUAUGGCAUAUGAAAUGGAAGAGAAGAUAUCGUCUGUAAUAGUAUGUUUGAUAAAAGAAUGGAAUAUUUAUAAUUUCAAAUUUUGUAUAUUUAUAUUAUAUAUUUUUAUAUAUUAAUUGUAAUUAUAAAAUAUAUUUACAAUUUACAAAAGACGUCGAAAGGAAGAGAUAAGUAAACAGCUAUUUAUGAAAUUUAUGGAGAAAGGAUUAAUUUAUAUUUUCGCAUCACUCAACGUCUUCAUUUAUAAUUUAACAUCAAACACGUCUUUACUUACCACUCAAGAUAUUGUAAACGGAAUCAUUAAUGAAAGUAGUAAUAUUGA